rnacentral:rRNA from 1 species
GAUGAACGCUAGCUACAGGCUUAACACAUGCAAGUCGAGGGGAAACGACAUCGAAAGCUUGCUUUUGAUGGGCGUCGACCGGCGCACGGGUGAGUAACGCGUAUCCAACCUGCCCACCACUUGGGGAUAACCUUGCGAAAGUAAGACUAAUACCCAAUGACGUCUCUAGAAGACAUCUGAAAGAGAUUAAAGAUUUAUCGGUGAUGGAUGGGGAUGCGUCUGAUUAGCUUGUUGGCGGGGUACCGGCCCACCAAGGCGACGAUCAGUAGGGGUUCUGAGAGGAAGGUCCCCCACAUUGGAACUGGGACAAGGGCCAAAAUGCUACGGGAGGGAGCAGUGAGGAAUAUUGGUCAAGGGACGAGAGUCCGAACCAGGCAAGUAGCGUGCAGGAUGACGGCCCUAUGGGUUGUAAACUGCUUUUAGAAGGGAAUAAAGUGAGUCUCGUGAGACUUUUUGCAUGUACCUUAUGAAUAAGGACCGGCUAAUUCCGUG